rnacentral:rRNA from 1 species
AUUGAACGCUGGCGGCAGGCCUAACACAUGCAAGUCGAACGAGUGGCGGACGGGUGAGUAAUGUCUGGGAAACUGCCCGAUGGAGGGGGAUAACUACUGGAAACGGUAGCUAAUACCGCAUACCAUCGGAUGUGCCCAGAUGGGAUUAGCUAGUAGGUGGGGUAAAGGCUCACCUCGGCGACGAUCCCUAGCUGGUCUGAGAGGAUGACCAGCCACAUUGAAUCUGAGCCCCGGCCCAAACUCCUACGGGAGGCGGCAUGGGGGAAUAUUGCACAAUGGGCGCAAGCCUGAUGCAGCCAGUCGGCUGGUAUGAAGAAGGCGUUAGGGUUGUAAAGUCCUUUCAGCGAGGAGGCGUUACUCGCAGAAGAAGCACCGGCUAACUCCGUGCCAGCAGCCGCGGUAAUAC